rnacentral:ncRNA from 1 species
GAUCAGGUUGAAGUACAGGGGAAACCCUGAUGGAAGACCGAAACAGUUCUGACGUGCAAAUCGAUUGUCAGAAUUGAGUAUAGGGGCGAAAGACCAAUCGAACCAUCUAGUAGCUGGUUCCUUCCGAAGUUUCCCUCAGGAUAGCUGGUGCAUUUUAAUAUUAUAUAAAAUAAUCUUAUCUGGUAAAGCGAAUGAUUAGAGGCCUUAGGGUCGAAACGAUCUUAACCUAUUCUCAAACUUUAAAUGGGUAAGAACCUUAACUUUCUUGAUAUGAAGUUUAAGGUUAUGAUAUAAUGUGCCCAGUGGGCCACUUUUGGUAAGCAGAACUGGCGCUGUGGGAUGAACCAAACGUAAUGUUACGGUGCCCAAAUUAACAACUCAUGCAGAUACCAUGAAAGGCGUUGGUUGCUUAAAACAGCAGGACGGUGAUCAUGGAAGUCGAAAUCCGCUAAGGAGUGUGUAACAACUCACCUGCCGAAGCAACUAGCCCUUAAAAUGGAUAGCGCUUAAGUUGUAUACCUAUACAUUACCGCUAAAGUAGAUGAUUUAUAUUACUUGUAAUAUAAAUUUUGAAACUUUAGUGAGUAGGAAGGUACAAUGGUAUGCGUAGAAGUGUUUGGCGUAAGCCUGCAUGGAGCUGCCAUUGGUACAGAUCUUGGUGGUAGUAAGCAAAUAAUCGAAUGAGACCUUGGAGGACUGAAGUGGAGAAGGGUUUCGUGUGAACAGUGGUUGAUCACGAGUUAGUCGGUCCUAAGUUCAAGGCGAAAGCCGAAAAUUUUCAAGUAAAAAACUAAUGACUAAAUAAAUAUAUAUACAAGCCAAAAAUAAUAUACUUGAAUAAUUUUGAACGAAAGGGAAUACGGUUCCAAUUCCGUAACCUGUUGAGUAUCCGUUUGUUAUUAAAUAUGGGCCUCGUGCUCAUCCUGGCAACAGGAACGACCAUAAAGAAGCCGUCGAGAGAUAUCGGAAGAGUUUUCUUUUCUGUUUUAUAGCCGUACUACCAUGGAAGUCUUUCGCAGAGAGAUAUGGUAGAUGGG